GUCUAUGGCCAUACCACCCUGAACGUAUCUGAUCUCGUCUGAUCUCAGAAGCUAAGCAGGGUCAGGCCUGGUUAGUACUUAGAUGGGAGACUGCCUGGGAAUACUGGGUGCUGUAGGCU
rnacentral:rRNA from 1 species